rnacentral:lncRNA from 1 species
AGAGAGAGAGAGAGAGAGAGAGAGAGAGCUUGGAUGAAGAAGAUGGGUGGCUUAGGGUGGUUUGAACUAGAAUUGGGGGAGAGAGAUUUCUCUCUCUCCUCUAUGUUUCUCUCUCUACAAAAUGAGAAAUGAGAGCUGGAAUUUCUGGAUAACCCAUUUAUAUGGGAGGACAAUUUGGUCAUUUCAAGAUGCAGGAAAAAUUCUAUUUUUGUUCGAUUGUUGUGCAUGCCGUGUGCAUAUUCGAAAUAUCAUAUUUAUGUCACAAGAUUAAGAAAUUGUUCCAUUUUAAGGUAUUUCCCUAUAUUUUAAUGAAUAAUUAACUUUAUAAAAUUGUUGUGAAUCUGUCUAUGAAUCUGAUCACGCACAAUUUUCUUGUUUAAUAAAUAAGAUUAAGUAAUUUUGAUUUUAUUGAUGAGGAUCUAUGAAUAAUGAGUGUGGCCAAGAAGUAAAGGUCUAGCCAUUAAUUUAGCUUACAAGUUCUCUGAUGAUACCAAACCUGUCAAAUAAGGAGAAGCUCGCUUACCAUAGAUGGGUUUUUAUUCUCGACUUUAUUUGCCUUUACCAACACAUGAGUAUUAAAAAUUUUUUGGGCCAGCGUACUCCACUCGAAGCUUAUCUUACCUUAGCCCUUCUUCCAUUUGUAGUACAACUCUUUACUCCUAUAUUUUUUUUCUCUCCUUUAUCUCUCUUCUUCUCAAACUUAAAUUAUUUUUCAAUUAAACACAAUAUCCGAGCUAAAUUCUUAUGCUUUAUCUUAGCUUGAACUCAAUCUCCUUUUAAACUUUGUAAGAACUAAGAAAGAACAUACAACUUGCUGCACUUUUAUUAAACAUAUGUUAAUUCACUCCCCACCUUUGACAAUAGAUUUCAUCUGUUCUUUAUUGUGUGUUUAACUUAUUAUCUUCUAGUUGGCUCUAUGUUAAUUGUUUUUCUCCAUUUAUCUCUUGGUAUGAAGUCACAUUUCUAAAAAUAUGAGAACACAUCAUUGACAAUAAGAAUAAAACUAUGAUCAAUUUUAGUGAGUUUAUGGUAUGACCUUAUUAUUACAAAGUUCUAGUUUUGCCACUGCAUUAUAUAAUUCAACAUCUGAAAAUUAAAUCAUGAAUUAGAUUAGCAAGGGGUAUAUUGAUCUCAUGUCCAUUCAUUUAUCUUCCCUAGAUUCCCAGUUCAGGACUUCACCAAUACAAGUGUAGUGAAGAAGUUAGUGAACAACAUGAAAGCGUUGAUGAAGGGCAUCGGAUGUUAAUUUUCCCUAGCGUAAAAGCUAAAAACAGACCACAGGGACUAUAUAUAUGCAGAUAAAUUUUGAGGAGCUCCUUGCUGUUAAAGGUAGUGUUGCAAAGCCAAUAUGACAAUGAAUUAUUUGGUGCGUCGGAUUGGUUAUAUGGACCCUGUAUAUUGCUGUAAACAAAACGAAAUUUGAUUUUUCUGUGGCCUUCAAUACACCGAGCUAGUAACAAUGAAAUCAUCAACUCUACGCCUCAGAACCCCACUGGUGGAACCGUGAAGGGUAAGAGGAGAAGGUGAGUUAAUUAACCAUGUACAAGAGUUAAAGCUUAAAGGAAAACAGUAAGACUGUAAGUAAGAUUCUUAACUCAGAAAAUGCAGUAAAACGACAUAUAAGAAAAGAAAUUAGGAAAUACAGUUCCAGUACUGUAUCAGAUAUGGAAUGAGUUUCCACUUGAAGAUCUCCACCAACAAAAGUGUGAGAGUUACCUGCAAAGAGACACAUGCAUGGUGGCUUUCUCACAGCAUGGACCAGCUGACAUGAUAAUUAUAGGAUCAUGAAAUCUGGAUAAUAGGGAACUCAACUAGAUUUCUAGCAAGCAAAGGCAUCUGGCUGGCAAUCUACAGAAAUUUGAUAGCAUAUAUUCUUUAUAAAAUUCGGUGGAACUGCAACUAUUUCAUCUUGUUGUGUUUAAAAAGUCUUUCUUAAAACACAAGGUCUUGGUUACUUCUUUAUAUAUACUUCAUUAUUGCAUCAGAUGAGCUAUAACUGAUUGGAAUGCCAAAUAUGUUAAACGCUUUCCCUCCAAGCCCUCCUUCAGUAACCUGAUUACUUUUUUGGGAAUAUUAUUAAUUAAAGACCUCCUAUAAGAUUACAGCAUCCCUUCUCUCUGCGUCAGUUGCAUCUAAUAACCAAACCUCUUACAAAGAAGAGAAAUUGAUUAAAAUAAUCAUAAAUUAAAUUUAAAUUGUUGAAAUAAUCAAAAUUAAUUUGACAACAUAUUAGUUAAAUGUUGACGCUUAGCGAUCAAUGAUUAGCAACAGAAUAAAUAGAUAUCAACUACCAACUGAAAAACUGAUUAUUUUAACAAUUGAAAUUUACAAAAUAAUCAUCUUCAUUCAUAAAAUAAUCAUCUUCAUUCAUUUCCCUUAAAAAAAAAUCAAUUUGGCUAAUACAAAUUUCUUCAGCUUUUGGGCCACAGUUCCGUACUAUAACCAAAAUAAUUCAAAAUAAUCGUGUUAAAAGUAGGAAUGUAAAAAUUGUAAUUGAUUGUAUUGAGGAUCCUUUCUUUAAUAGAUUUUCUAGAUUAAUUAUGAUUAGAGUUGUACAACUAUAUAUAUUUCCUCCGAGUGAGAAAAAUGAUAUUGGCUUAUUCACGAAUUCUAAGUUGGCAUCACAAGCCUAGGUUAGAAAAUAAAAAAAUAAAAUAAAAA